GAAAUGCGAUAAGUAAUGUGAAUUGCAGAAUUCAGUGAAUCAUCGAAUCUUUGAACGCACAUUGCGCCCCCUGGUAUUCCGGGGGGCUUGCCUGUUCGAGCGUCAUUUCACCACUCAAGCCUCGCUUGGUAUUGGGCAACGCGGUCCGCCGCGUGCCUCAAAUCGACCGGCUGGGUCUUCUGUCCCCUAAGCGUUGUGGAAACUAUUCGCUAAAGGGUGUUCGGGAGGCUACGCCGUAAAACAACCCCAUUUCUAAGGUUGACCUCGGAUCAGGUAGGGAUACCCGCUGAACUUAAGC
rnacentral:misc_RNA from 1 species